GGUGUCUCUGCUGGUCCCCUCGCAACAAUAAAUCGUUAAUCUGGUCAGGUCCGGAAGGAAGCAGCCACAGCGAUGGACUUGUGUGCCGAGGUGCGGCUGGUAGAGAUGCCACCUAAUU
rnacentral:SRP_RNA from 1 species